rnacentral:sRNA from 1 species
CACACACACACACACACACACCAGGGCACACCCUGAGCUCCCCUGCUGUGGCCUCCAUGGCCUGUCGCAACUGUCAAGGUUAGCAGCAAAGCACUUGCUCUCUUCUUUUCUUUCUUUUCUUUUGUUUUCUUUCCUUUAUUCUCUUCCUUCUUCCGCUCCCCCCUCCUAGCCCUCCUUCUCUUACUUCAUUUCCCUCUUCACUUUCCCUUUCGCUCGCGUUUCUUUCUUUCUGCCUCUCUUUUGUAAUCUUUAUUUUCCUGUUCUUUUCUCUCCUUCUGGGUCCUUCUCUUUCUUUGGACCUCCUUUCCCAGCCCUUUCGCUGUCCCUAGAUGAAGCUCGCACGGUUUCUCAACGUUCUCUUCCUGAGUGCUCCGUCUUUUUCUUACUUUUCCGUUCUCCUAGGGGCCCCCGUCUGGCGGGCUUGGGUCCGGCUCCCCCGCCGCCACCGUGAUUUAUUCGCCUCACUCGACGGAAUCAGCGAUUUCCUUUUCGUCCUGGAAGCAGAUUAACAUGCAAACGGGGAGGCGAUCGGCUCGAAGCUGUCCCUCCAAUCUGUCCCGGCCGCCGGACAGCGGAAAACUACAGCCCCGGCCCCCCCACGCCUGCUUGAGCAGGGGCCGUGACCCAGCCAGUACCCGCAGAGAAGAUGGAAAAAGCCCAGCGCCGGUGCUGGAGCGAAGUUGGAGGCACGGACACUGAUUGCGCCUUAUGAAGUUCUAACUGGUUUUGUGUCAGGAAGAUCUUUCUCGCUGCUACCCAGCCUGGCGUGACGGAUUAAACAUCAACUAGUUAAAUAAAAAUUAAUAUCAACUGCCUCCUAACUUCUAAUGUCAUGUUGUUUAUAACUAAUGAACUGAUUAGGGGAUAAACACAUCACGGAGACGUUCGGCUUUCCUGCCUCAGCUCCAUCCUCGCCGGUGCCCACUCCAGUGCUGCCAGUCGCCAGGCCAGGAAAGGGGGAGUUGGCUGGGAGGGCGGGGUAAGCUGCCUAGAGUGGGAGUCCCAGGGUUUGCUCCUCUGCCUGCCUUGAUCCAUCUCUCCUCUCU